rnacentral:rRNA from 1 species
GACGAGGGGUGCGAGCGUUAUUCGGAAUUAUUGGGCGUAAAGGGUGCGUAGGCGGUAUGUUAAGUCAACUGUUAAAUUUUCUGGCCUAACCGGAAACAUGCAGUAGAAACUGGCGUGCUGGAGGAUGGAAGAGAGAAGUGGAAUUCUCGGAGUAGCGGUAAAAUGCGUAGAUCUCGAGAGGAACACCAAUGGCGAAGGCAGCUUCUUGGCCCAUUCCUGACGCUGAGGCACGAAAGCGUGGGGAGCAAACAGG